UGUAACUCUACAAAGACAAGUUUGAAUAGUCAAAUUGAGUUCCUUCUCUCUAGACUCUCUUUCUAUAUUUAUCUCUCUUUGUAAAUUAACUCCGUCGGCGACGCCCGCAAGUCUACCGUAAGAUUUCUUCAGGAGCUAUUCGUCUGAAGGAUGGGAGCCGACAUCGCAGAAAACGAGUUGAAGAAAUUGGAAUACCUCUCGCUAAUUUCUAAGGUAUGUUCUGAGUUGGAGGCGCAUUUAGGGUUUGGUGAUAAGGUUCUAGCUGAAUUUAUAACUGAGCUUGGUAGAAAUUGCUUAACAGUAGAUGAAUUUGAUGACAAAUUGAAAGAAAGUGGUGCUGAAAUGCCCGAUUAUUUCGUAAAAACAUUGCUCACUAUAAUCCAUGCUAUUUUGCCGCCUAGUGCCAAGUCCAAGUCGGAGAAGGAGUUGAACAAGGAUGGCAAUGAUUCCGAGUUUUCAGCUCUGAAGAUCAGAGAUAAUAGGGAUAGAGUUAAGGAAUUGGAGAAGGAGAUUGAGUUGGAGGCUAAUAGUAAGAGGAGAGAUGGGGAGGGAGAAGAACGGGAUAGGAGGCGAGAGAGCGAUAGAGAUUAUAGAAGAGAAAGGGGUAGAGACAGGGAUAGGGAUAGGGGUAAGGAUCGAGAUAGAGAUGAUGGUAGAGCUGAACGUAGGGCUUCAGAAAGGCGCAGAGACAGGGAUGGAGAUGGAGAUGUAUAUGAAAAGGGUAGGAGAGAUGAUUAUGAGCAAGACGGGGAUGAUGAUCGGAGGGAUAGGAGAAAAUCGAGGCAUCAUGUGGAUGAGCCAGAGUUGUAUGCAGUAUAUAAGGGGAGGGUAUCAAGGGUGAUGGAUUCUGGUUGUUUUGUUCAGCUGAAUGAAUUUAGAGGGAAAGAAGGCUUGGUGCAUGUUUCACAACUUGCUACUAGAAGGGUUAGUAAUGCCAAAGAUUUAGUAAAACGGGACCAGGAGGUUUUUGUGAAGGUUAUCUCUAUUAGUGGGCAGAAGCUGAGUUUGUCAAUGAGAGAUGUUGAUCAGAAUACAGGAAAGGAUCUGCUUCCAUUGAAGAAGAGCGCAGGCGAUGGUGGAUUGACAACAAAUCCUUCAGGCAUGAAUAAUGAGGGCUCUAAGACCAGGAUUGGCCUGUCAGGAAUCAGGAUUACGGAGCAAGAGGAUGUAGCUCCAUCACGUAGACCUGUGAAGAGGAUGAGUUCACCUGAAAGGUGGGAAGCGAAACAACUUAUUGCUGCAGGUGUCCUGGG
rnacentral:lncRNA from 1 species